UCUCUCUUUAAGGCUGUCUACAAUAAUAAUGAGUGACUCCAGUGGGAAGUGAUUUACAUAAGACAUGCUUCACUCGCUGCAGACAGGAGCUCUGUGCUGGGCUAGAGAGGGAAGGAGAAAGAUCAGUAGAAGUAAACAUUUUGCUGGUACUUCGACCAUGAGGACUAGCCUGAAGGUGCUAUUAACAAUCAGAGAAGAAAUCAAAGACUGGAAGGUUGCUCAUAUACAUUAACUGCAGAAAUUCCUACGUUAAAGCCUACUUAUAAUGGUCAGGAAUAGACCAACUUUUAAAUUGUA
rnacentral:lncRNA from 1 species